GGCGCAAUUCUGAAGUAGAGUGGUUUAGUAGGGUCAGAUGAUCCCCUAAUCUACUCCACUUCAAAUUUGGGUCC
rnacentral:pre_miRNA from 1 species